AGUGGAUGGGGAGCAACCUAGUUGUGCGUGUGUAAAGGUAGUGCCAAGAAAAGCGGUGAUCAUGAUGAAAAUCAAUUCCCGGUACCCGAAACCGACACAGGUGGGCAAGUAGAGAAUACUAAGGGGCGCGAGGUAACUCUCUCCAAGGAACUCGGCAAAAUGACCCCGUAACUUAGGGAGAAGGGGUGCCACCGAGAGGUGGUCGCAGUGAAGAGGCCCAGGCGACUGUUUAGCAAAAACAUAGGUCUCUGCAAACUCGAAAGAGGAGGUAUAGGGGCUGACGCCUGCCCAGUGCCGGAAGGUUAAAGAAGUUGGUCAGUCUUAGGAUAAAGCUAGCGACUGAAGCCCCGGUGAACGGCGGCCGUAACUAUAACGGUCCUAAGGUAGCGAAAUUCCUUGUCGGGUAAGUUCCGACCCGCACGAAAGGCGUAACGAUCUGGGCGCUGUCUCGGAGAGAGGCUCGGCGAAAUAGGAUUGUCUGUGAAGAUACGGACUACCUGCAUUUGGACAGAAAGACCCUAUGAAGCUUUACUAUAGCUUGGAAUUGUGUUCGGGCUUCCUGUGCGCAGGAUAGGUGGGAGGCGAAGAAGGUAUUCUUGUGGGGAUACUGGAGCCAACGGUGAGAUACCACUCUCAGGAGGCUAGAAUUCUAACUUAAUUAAGGACAGUUUCAGGUGGGUAGUUUGACUGGGGCGGUCGCCUCCAAAAAGGUAACGGAGGCGUACAAAGGUUCCCUCAGACUGGUUGGAAAUCAGUCGCAGAGUGCAAAGGCAGAAGGGAGCUUGACUGCGAGAAGUACAGUUCGAGCAGGGUGGAAACACGGUCUUAGUGAUCCGACGGUGCUGUGUGGAAGGGCCGUCGUUCAACGGAUAAAAGUUACUCUAGGAUAACAGGCUGAUCUCCCCCAAGAGUUCACAUCGACGGGGAGGUUUGGCACCUCGAUGUCGGCUCAUCGCAACCUGGGGCGGAAGUACGUCCCAAGGGUUGGGCUGUUCGCCCAUUAAAGCGGUACGUGAGCUGGGUUCAGAACGUCGUGAGACAGUUCGGUCCAUAUCCGAUGUAGGCGUGAGAAUAUUGAGAGGAGCCUUCCUUAGUACGAGAGGACCGGGAAGGACGCACCGCUGGUGUACCUGUUAUGAUGCCUAUUGUAAACGCAGGGUAGCCAAGUGCGGAGAGGAUAACCGCUGAAAGCAUCUAAGUGGGAAGCCCACCUCAAGAUGAGUAUUCUGGUGUAAGGUCACGGGAAGACGACCCGUAAAUAGGCACGAGGUGGAAGUGCAGAGAUGUAUGAAGCCGAAGUGUACUAAUAGACCGUCGGCUUGACC
rnacentral:rRNA from 1 species